GAUGAAUGCUGGCGGCGUGCCUAACACAUGCCAGUCGAGCGGCAGCGAGUUUUACACUGCCUUCUGGAAGCUUCUGAGUAGUACAGAAGAUUUAUUCAAGAGUUUUGUGUAAAAUGUCGGCGAGCGGCGGACGGCUGAGUAACGCGUAGGAAUUUGCUCCAAAGUGAGGAAUAACUGCCCGAAAGGGUAGCUAAUGCCGCAUAUGGGCUGCGGAUUAAAGCCUUCGGGCGCUUUGGGAGAAGCCUGCGUUGGAUUAGGUAGUUGGUAGGGUAAUGGCCUACCAAGCCGACGAUCCAUAGCUGGGCUGAGGGGAUGAUCAGCAAGACUGGAACUGAGACACGGUCCAGAAUCCUACGGGAGGCAGCAGUGAGGAAUCUUACACAAGGGGCGAAAGCGUGAUGGAGCAACGCCGCGUGAAGGAUGAAGGCCUUCGGGUUGUAAACUUCUUUUAUGCGUGAAGAAUAUGACGGUAACUCAUGAAUAAGCACCGGCUAACUACGUG
rnacentral:rRNA from 1 species